rnacentral:rRNA from 1 species
CCUACGGGAGGCAGCAGUGGGGAAUAUUGGACAAUGGGCGAAAGCCUGAUCCAGCCAUGCCGCGUGUGUGAAGAAGGCCUUCGGGUUGUAAAGCACUUUCAGUGGGGAAGAAAGCCUUGGGGCUAAUACCCUCGAGGAAGGACAUCACCCACAGAAGAAGCACCGGCUAACUCCGUGCCAGCAGCCGCGGUAAUACGGAGGGUGCGAGCGUUAAUCGGAAUUACUGGGCGUAAAGCGCGCGUAGGCGGUCUGAUAAGCCGGUUGUGAAAGCCCCGGGCUCAACCUGGGAACGGCAUCCGGAACGGUCAGGCUAGAGUGCAGGAGAGGAAGGUAGAAUUCCCGGUGUAGCGGUGAAAUGCGUAGAGAUCGGGAGGAAUACCAGUGGCGAAGGCGGCCUUCUGGACUGACACUGACGCUGAGGUGCGAAAGCGUGGGUAGCAAACAGGAUUAGAUACCCCUGUAGUC